UAGGUAGGUGGUCUCAUUUGUCUGGGGUGAAAGCCUUGAGCUUAACUCAAGAAGUGCCCCAGAAACGGUGAGACUAGAGUCCUGGAGAGGGUCGUGGAAUUCCCGGUGUAGCGGUGAAAUGCGUAGAGAUCGGGAGGAACACCAGAAGCGAAGGCGACGACCUGGACAGGAACUGACACUCAACUACGAAAGCGUGGGGAGCAAACA
rnacentral:rRNA from 1 species